rnacentral:rRNA from 1 species
UCGGGUUAAGUCCCAUAACGAGCGCAACCCUUAUCGUUAGUUGCCAUCUGGUAAUGCAGGGGACUCUAGCGAAACUGCCACCGUAAGGUGAGAGGAAGGUGGGGAUGACGUCAAAUCAGCACGGCCCUUAUGUCCAGGGCUACACACGUGUUACAAUGGUCGGUACAGAGGGCAGCUACCUGGUGACAGGAUGCUAAUCUCGAAAACCAGUCUCAGUUCGGAUCGAAGUCUGCAACUCGACUUCGUGAAGCUGGAUUCGCUAGUAAUCGCGCAUCAGCUAUGGCGCGGUGAAUACGUUCCCGGGCCUU